AAAGAUUUAGUUUAGCCCAAAACCUUAACUUGUCAAGUUAAAAUCAUUUAUUUUAAAUAGUCUUUA
rnacentral:tRNA from 1 species